rnacentral:tRNA from 1 species
GGGGAUAUAACUCAGUGGUAGAGUGCUUGCUUACCAUGUACAAGGGCCUGAGUUCAAUCCCCAGUCCCCCCA